GCAAACUUGGUCAUUUAGAGGAAGUAAAAGUCGUAACAAGGUAACCGUAGGUGAACCUGCGGUUGGAUCAUUAAAAAUUCAACUAGCCUCUGGGUGGUAAAUUAUUCUACCCAUGAUGGCUAAUUAACACCUGUGCACUUUAUGUAUCUUGGGUAUGGUAAUCUCAAAAAUUUCCCUACCCAAACAAUUUGUUAACCCCUAUUGAUUAUGUCUGAAUAUUUAAUAUAAAUAUUAAAAACUUUUGACAACGGAUCUCUAGGCUCUCGCAUCGAUGAAGAACGCAGC
rnacentral:misc_RNA from 1 species